rnacentral:rRNA from 1 species
GACGAACGCCUGGCGGCGCGCCUAACACAUGCAAGUCGAACGAGCGAGAGAGAGCUUGCUUUCUUGAGCGAGUGGCGAACGGGUGAGUAACGCGUGAGGAACCUGCCUCAAAGAGGGGGACAACAGUUGGAAACGACUGCUAAUACCGCAUAAGCCCACGGCUCGGCAUCGAGCAGAGGGAAAAGGAGCAAUCCGCUUUGAGAUGGCCUCGCGUCCGAUUAGCUAGUUGGUGAGGUAACGGCCCACCAAGGCGACGAUCGGUAGCCGGACUGAGAGGUUGAACGGCCACAUUGGGACUGAGACACGGCCCAGACUCCUACGGGAGGCAGCAGUGGGGAAUAUUGCACAAUGGGGGAAACCCUGAUGCAGCGACGCCGCGUGGAGGAAGAAGGUCUUCGGAUUGUAAACUCCUGUUGUUGAGGAAGAUAAUGACGGUACUCAACAAGGAAGUGACGGCUAACUACGUGCCAGCAGCCGCGGUAAAACGUAGGUCACAAGCGUUGUCCGGAAUUACUGGGUGUAAAGGGAGCGCAGGCGGGAAGACAAGUUGGAAGUGAAAUCCAUGGGCUCAACCCAUGAACUGCUUUCAAAACUGUUUUUCUUGAGUAGUGCAGAGGUAGGCGGAAUUCCCGGUGUAGCGGUGGAAUGCGUAGAUAUCGGGAGGAACACCAGUGGCGAAGGCGGCCUACUGGGCACCAACUGACGCUGAGGCUCGAAAGUGUGGGUAGCAAACAGGAUUAGAUACCCUGGUAGUCCACACUGUAAACGAUGAUUACUAGGUGUUGGAGGAUUGACCCCUUCAGUGCCGCAGUUAACACAAUAAGUAAUCCACCUGGGGAGUACGACCGCAAGGUUGAAACUCAAAGGAAUUGACGGGGGCCCGCACAAGCAGUGGAGUAUGUGGUUUAAUUCGACGCAACGCGAAGAACCUUACCAAGUCUUGACAUCCCUUGACGAUGCUGGAAACAGUAUUUCUCUUCGGAGCAAGGAGACAGGUGGUGCAUGGUUGUCGUCAGCUCGUGUCGUGAGAUGUUGGGUUAAGUCCCGCAACGAGCGCAACCCUUAUGGUCAGUUACUACGCAAGGGGACUCUGGCCAGACUGCCGUUGACAAAACGGAGGAAGGUGGGGAUGACGUCAAAUCAUCAUGCCCUUUAUGACUUGGGCUACACACGUACUACAAUGGCGUUAAACAAAGAGAAGCAAGACCGCGAGGUGGAGCAAAACUCAGAAACAACGUCCCAGUUCGGACUGCAGGCUGCAACUCGCCUGCACGAAGUCGGAAUUGCUAGUAAUCGUGGAUCAGCAUGCCACGGUGAAUACGUUCCCGGGCCU